UUGAAACAUUGGUUCCCGUACGAUCACUGAAGUUAGGCAACGUCGAGCCUGAUCAGUACCUAGAUGGGUGACCGCUUAGGAAUACCGGGUGUUGUA